rnacentral:lncRNA from 1 species
GCUAAGAAUAUAGGAGUUGAAACUAGUGGCCACAGAGUCAAAGAGGGACACAGAAGACAAGCAGCACUUGCUUUCCUUACCGUGGCUGCUGCUUUCGGUAGCCCUUAGGUAGCCCUGCGGUGGCAGUGUGUCCCUUUAUCCUUUCCAGCCUGAGGGACAAUUUUCUUUCCCAAGAGAACAGAUUUAAAACAGCUUUACAGAUAGCAGCAGCCCACAGGAAUCUGCUUUGGGUUUGACCCUAGCAUCCUCUGUCCUAGACCCCAGCUCAGCCAUCCUCCUCAUGCAUGAAAGUCAGACUAAAUGAAGAAUAGGACUGGCCCAGAGACCUCAGGUCAGCCAGAUCAACUGGAUCUGUCUUGUGAACCAAGCUCCUUACAAGGUGAUGCAAGGCUAGGCCUCCUGCACCUUGGAGUUGUCUUUUAUCUUUGAAGGCCCAGGGCCUGUCCCCUUCCUGUCUUCAAGGCAUCUGCACCCCUCUUUCAUAGCACAUGACAGAGAAGCUUGUUCUCAUGGCAUGGACCAUCCCUGUGAAGAGAGCGUUGUGUAUGAUUUUUGUAUUUUUUAAUUCAUUUUAACCUACAGGUUGGAAUCUAAUUUUUAAAUUUUAUUGGAACUCACAUUUUAAAACAAAUAAAAAACAUUUAAAAAUAAUAAUAAUUAUAAUAAUAAACCUUUGACCAGUGUCUUCCAAGUAGUUUGAUCAAAUAAUUUAUAGAUGUUUUCAAAAUACAGCCUGGAGUGUAAAUCUGGCUUUGUUGUUUUGGAUUCCUUUGGGUUUUGCUUUGUUUUGAAGAUCAGAUAGUGAUCACUCUGAAUGGUUGAAGCCAAGAGUUUGUAACUAUGAUAUUUACUGUAAGCUGUAGAACAUUCAACAACUAUUAAAAGAAAGUUUCC